rnacentral:rRNA from 1 species
AUUGAACGCUGGCGGCAGGCCUCACACAUGCAAGUCGAACGAGAGGCGGACGGGUGAGUAAUGAAUGGGAAAAUGCCCGAUGGAGGGGGAUAACUACUGGAAACGGUAGCUAAUACCGCAUUCCAUCGGCUGUGCCCAGAUGGGAUUAGAUAGUAGGGGGGGUAACGGGUCACCUAGGCGACGAUCCCUAGAUGGUCUGAGAGGAUGACCAGCCACACGGGAGCUGAGACACUGUCCAGACUCCUACGGUAGGCAGCAGUGGGGAAUAUUGCACAAUGGGCGCAAGCCUGAUGCAGCCAUGCCGCGUGUAUGAAGAAGGCCUUCGGGUUGUAAAGUACUUUCAGCGAGGAGGCGUUACUCGCAGAAGAAGCACCGGCUAACUCCGUGCCAGCAGCCGCGGUAAUUC